CUCACACUAUUCAGCUCAGUUCUGCUACUUAUUGUGUGACUAUGAACAAAUUAUUUGACAUAUUUGCAUCUCAAAUUCUCAUUCUAAGGUUCUGAGUUUCCCUUUUGGGUCAAAAAGAAUUACAACUCUUCCGGAUUAUAAAACGUACUACCACUCGCCUGUGUGUCUGAGUGGAAGCACAAGUAGUGCUAUUCUCAUCACCUCACGCUGAUUCUCAUCACCAGCCUUUGUUAUUUCUACUUCCCAGCUCUCAUCCCAUCCAAAUUGACCACAUGUGUUAUGUCUGGAGCAGCUGAGAACCACAAGGAGCCCGAGACCAGGGACAUU